AGAACCCACAAAGGGUGU
rnacentral:snRNA from 1 species